CCUUUUUAGCUGUCCAUCAAGGCAUCAACACGUAUAGAUCCAUGCAUAGCUUUGUCCAUCACGGCAUCAACAUGUAUAGCCAAAAAGCUUUAGGUUAGGGUUUGUGUGCUCGGUUCGCACAGCAGGAAGGGAAGAGAAGGGGUGGGAAUACCUGGUGGGUGCUCGUCGCCGGCGAAGAGACCGGCGAAGGCCUUAGCACCAGGCGCAGGGCGGGGGCGGCGGCGGCACACCAGUCGUCGGAGAGAGAGACGGGGGCCGAGAGAGACAGACAGACAGAAACGGAGUCGGAACGCGGCGGACGGCG
rnacentral:lncRNA from 1 species